UUGAAAUCAAAAUCUCCCCUUCACAAAGCAA
rnacentral:piRNA from 1 species